rnacentral:rRNA from 1 species
UGCUGGAGGUAUCAGAAGUGCGAAUGCUGACAUAAGUAACGAUAAAGCGGGUGAAAAGCCCGCUCGCCGGAAGACCAAGGGUUCCUGUCCAACGUUAAUCGGGGCAGGGUGAGUCGACCCCUAAGGCGAGGCCGAAAGGCGUAGUCGAUGGGAAACAGGUUAAUAUUCCUGUACUUGGUGUUACUGCGAAGGGGGGACGGAGAAGGCUAUGUUGGCCGGGCGACGGUUGUCCCGGUUUAAGCGUGUAGGCUGGUUUUCCAGGCAAAUCCGGAAAAUCAAGGCUGAGGCGUGAUGACGAGGCACUACGGUGCUGAAGCAACAAAUGCCCUGCUUCCAGGAAAAGCCUCUAAGCAUCAGGUAACAUCAAAUCGUACCCCAAACCGACACAGGUGGUCAGGUAGAGAAUACCAAGGCGCUUGAGAGAACUCGGGUGAAGGAACUAGGCAAAAUGGUGCCGUAACUUCGGGAGAAGG